ensembl:lncRNA
GAACACAACAGCACAAACACCCGCUCAUAUCGUCCAACUACUGACGCCUACUUAUCCUCUGUUUGGCGUGUUUACUGCCCAGUUUGCCACCUAUUGGCCUCAUAACCGUCGAUGGAAGGAGGGAUCACUUCUUCUGUGUUCCUGCUCAAGGUUUCUCCGAAGUAAUGAGGUGUACGAAGUGUUUCCUUGGUCCUAAUUGUGCUAGGGUUAGGGGUUUAAAACUGUUUGAAACUGUAACUCGAGGGAUACAGUGAGUGUUCGGCAGUAUUGUAAGGUGCUUUGAGCGGCCACUGGUUAGAAAAGCGCUGUAUAAAGGCAGACCAUUUAACUUGAACUCUGACCUCCGACCCGACCUCUGACCCUGCGACCCCGCCCUCUCCCCCCAGCGGCGCCGGCCCUGACGGACCUCCAGCUGACGGCGCUGGGCAGCGGCUCGGUGCAGGUGGACUGGCGGGGCCAGGCCGACGGGGUCCGGGGCUACUGGCUGACCUGGCAGGGGGCCGCCGCCCCGGGGGGCCACUCCAACUCCCUGCUGGCGCCGCCGCGCCCCGGCCCUCCGCCUCCCACUACCUGCCCGCCGGCGCCCUGUCCACGCGCCUGGACCAGCUGCCCCCCGCCGCCCGGGUGUGCGUGUCCCCCGUGUACAGCGCCGCGCGGGGCGACGGCCUCUGCUGCACGGCCCGGUUCAACACAGAUGCGCGUGUGUACGGCCACCAGUCCUAACCUCCCCCCCCCAGACUGACUCAGCACCUUACCAAACAUGGAGGCUCGUCGAUGAGGAAGAGGAGAAGAAUCUUGAUGUUUCAUCUCCCCUUUUCUCCCGCUCUGCUCCUUUCAUGGACGUGUGUGCUUUGGCGAGCGUGCGGGUUUGACGCCAGAGACACUUACCGCACGCCCUUGAGCCGCUGAGUCUUGGCGCUCAACUCGCGGCCACCCGGCCUCACGACGGCUCACCUGUUUUGUACCUGUAAUAUAAUUGUACAAAUAUUUGCUAGGUGUGGAAAAAAAAAAAGGGAUCAUAAAGUGGAAGGAGGGAAGGAGCAAUGCAAUAUUAUACUGCCGGAGGAUGCAGACGGAGAGAUAGGGUUUUAUGGACGUCCGUCUUUCCUUCAGACAAAGCAAAUAUUUGGAUCUGGAAUAUAAUUGUGCAGAUAUUUGCUUUGUGUCAAAGGGAUAAAGAGGUGGAAAUAGUCAAUGCGACUGUAAUGUGUAAAAGCUGAAGAGUGUGUGUUGCUGAGAAUGGUCUGGCAUUCUAACAUAGGAAGAUCUGAUUUGAACUUCCACAGCAUAUGGUGGAUUCCAUGCGAAAAUCAUUUUAUUUCUAAUCUGGUGAAUGCAUAGAGAACAUCUGAGAUCCAUUCUCUCUGAUUAGUUACACGUUUAAGCCCUAAAUAUUCUCUCUGUCUUCUGACAUAUGCUCCAUAUCUCUGGGAACUUGUUGAUGCCAAACACACACACACACACACACCAUUUUCCUCAUAACAUCGCCUUCAGGAUAGCUAUUAUACCUUGAUUGAAUAACCUUGUAAAAUAGUUGGCCUACACAAACAUAAAAAGAAGGGCUUAGCACACAAACACAAACAAAAACUACAUAAGGCUACACAGUUAAAUCAGCAAAGGUAUUCUUUUCAAUAUCACAUGCUUUUACAUCUAUAAUUCACGUUUACUCAUCAAUGUGUUUGUCCAUUAAAGGACGAGUAUGCGAUGCAUUUCUACGUUGUUUUUCCACAAACGGAAGGCAGUUGGCAGGCUGUUUGUUAAUAGGUAUUUGCUGCCCCCUAUGGGAACCAAUAGUUAUUACAGCUGAGGUUGAACUUGGGUUUUAUAAUGAGAAUAUCACCACAGAUAUUUAACAGGAACUUGUA